rfam:Candidatus Berkelbacteria bacterium CG2_30_39_44 cg2_3.0_scaffold_16420_c, whole genome shotgun sequence.
GGGGCAGUAGCUCAGUGGUUAGAGCAACCGUCUUAUAAGCGGUAGGUUUCGAUGGUUCGAAUCCAUCCUGCCCCA